rnacentral:rRNA from 1 species
UACGAAGGGGGCUAGCGUUGUUCGGAAUUACUGGGCGUAAAGCGCGUGUAGGCGGUUGGGUAAGUCGGAUGUGAAAGCCCCGGGCUCAACCCGGGAAGUGCAUUCGAUACUACUUGGCUAGAGUACUGGAGAGGAUGGUGGAACUCUCGGUGUAGAGGUGAAAUUCGUAGAUAUCGAGAAGAACACCGGCGGCGAAGGCGGCCAUCUGGACAGAUACUGACGCUGAGAACGCGAAAAGCGUGGGGAGCAA